rnacentral:rRNA from 1 species
GGCCUUGACAUACUAAGAACUUUCCAGAGAUGGAUUGGUGCCUUCGGGAACUUAGAUACAGGUGCUGCAUGGCUGUCGUCAGCUCGUGUCGUGAGAUGUUGGGUUAACGUCCGCAACGAGCGCAACCCUUUUCCUAUUUGCCAGCGGGUAAUGCCGGGAACUUUAAGGAUACUGCCAGUGACAAACUGGAGGAAGGCGGGGACGACGUCAAGUCAUCAUGGCCCUUACGGCCAGGGCUACACACGUGCUACAAUGGUCGGUACAAAGGGUUGCUACCUCGCGAGAGGAUGCUAAUCUCAAAAAGCCGAUCGUAGUCCGGAUCGCAGUCUGCAACUCGACUGCGUGAAGUCGGAAUCGCUAGUAAUCGCGGAUCAGAAUGCCGCGGUGAAUACGUUCCCGGGCCUUGUACACACCGCCCGUCACACCAUGGGAGUUUGUUGCACCAGAAGUAGGUAGUCUAACCGCAAGGAGGACGCUUACCACGGUGUGGCCGAUGACUGGGGUGAAGUCGUAACAAGGUAGGCGUAGAUGA